rnacentral:rRNA from 1 species
AUUGAACGCUGGCGGCAGGCUUAACACAUGCAAGUCGAGCGGUAACAGAGAGAAGCUUGCUUCUCUGCUGACGAGCGGCGGCCGGGUGAGUAAUGCCUAGGAAUCUGCCUAGUAGUGGGGGAUAACUUGCCGAAAGGUAAGCUAAUACCGCAUACGUCCUACGGGAGAAAGGAGGGGACCUUCGGGCCUUUCGCUAUUAGAUGAGCCUAGGUCGGAUUAGUUAGUUGGUGAGGUAAUGGCUCACCAAGACCGCGAUCCGUAACUGGUCUGAGAGGAUGAUCAGUCACACUGGAACUGAGACACGGUCCAGACUCCUACGGGAGGCAGCAGUGGGGAAUAUUGGACAAUGGGGGGGAACCCUGAUCCAGCCAUGCCGCGUGUGUGAAGAAGGUCUUAGGAUUGUAAAGCACUUUAAGUUGGGAGGAAGAGCAGUUAACUAAUAUUUGACUGUUUUGACGUUACCGACAGAAUAAGCACCGGCUAACUUCGUG